GUUUUCUGGUCAACUAUAGGCACUAUUUGUGUUUUUAAACACAGUAUCAUAUACAAUUUUAGAGCAAACCACGUGGCCACAUAAUCUGGCAGUCAAUAGUCGAACACCAGGUGCUGGGAGAAUGGGCUCAGACAAAAGGGAAGCCUCGAUUACCACUGCAUACAUUUAUGUGUGAACAGAGUGUAAACAACCUACAUACAGUGACAGCUUUACAGCGUGCACAGAAAUGUGAAGAAAUUGCCUCUGAUGUCCUAUCUCCUUCCUACCUUUUUACCUAUCCAUUUUUUCAUUCCAGUUUCUACUUUUCCCACCUUAGUCAUGAACACCUGGUAAUAUAUAUUAACUAGACAACUGAGGCUGCCUAGUCUUUCAGAAAAGGUAGUAAUUAAAAGGUAGUAAUAAGAUGGCAAUAUCCAAAAUGAAGAGAGGUACAAACAUAUGCAAACAUACCCUAGAACAAUCACUAAUAAUAAUUAGCCUCCUAAAAAAUCUAAGAGUUGAAAGCAAGACAAAGACUAUUCCAAGAGGGCAACUGAAGAGAUGUAGAUGGAUAAAAGGGAAAAAUAAGGAGCAGAGUGAAAAAUGAAUGCUUUGGGGCACAGUCUAGAGAUAGAUUUAAGAGUCAAGUAGCAGGAAAGCCAGUUACAAGAGCUGAAUAUUGCAUAGGAUUAUUGUGACUUAAGAAUAUUUGCAAAGGGUUUUGUAUUUGUGCUAAGACAAGGUCUCAGAUUCAAGGCUGACCUUGCCUUUGCCAUCUUCCUGCCAUGGCCUCUCAAGAGCUGGGAUUACAAGUAUGUUCCAUCAUGCCUGGCUGUUGUCAAGUUUUAAGACUUCUUCCUAAUGUCGUUUUCUCACCUAAAAGCAUUUAUGCUUUUGAGUGAACCUUAAGAAAAAUGAUCUGUGCAUAUGGAGCUCCAAAGCCCGAACAGUAACGGUACCCCCCGCUACCAGAGCUGCAGUCCAGUGCUGCAUGUCAGAGAACCCGAAGAUAAAACUCCAGAAAGCAGUCAAGAGAACCUCCACAAGAGAAGACUACAAAGUUAGCACACGGAGAAUGAUUUAGUACAUACAGACAAUUCUGAACACGGUCUGGCAUGAUUUAAGCUUUAUUUAUGCACUCAAACCUAAAUGUACAGCACAUAUAUCUUCAAAAGAACAGAGCAGGUACCAAAGGACUUAUCUUUUCAAUGAAAAUUAUUCAAUCUCAUCAGCAUCAUAUCAAAGUGUUUAUCAGCUUUCUGGAGAGCCAAGAAGAAAUUAGCUGAUAAUCUAAAAGGUAUGAGUGAUCAUAUGUCUGCCCACCAUAUACCGGCUUUCUUGUGCAAUUUCCAUCUCCAUACAUGUAUGUAUAUAAGUAGGAGGAUGGGAUUUAUUAUUUGAAAGAAAACACAUACUUAACCAACUAUAUCUAACAGAGGGAAUAAACAGCUUUGACAGGAGCCUGCAGUCACUCAGCUAUGAUUUACAAAUAGAGCAGUCAAACUAAGCGCC